AGGUCAUGAGGCAACAGAAUUCCACAAUGAUAUGGUUGAGGAAAAUGGAGACCUGUCCACAGAGGAGCCCAGCAUCAUAAUGAACAGCCAUCUGGAAUCUUUGGCUUUGGUACCAAACUAAUACUGCCCUAGAUGGAGUCUUGCUCUGUCACCCAGGCUGGAGUGCAGUGGCAUGAUCUCGGCUCACUGCAACAUCUGCUUCUUGGAUUCAAGCGAUUCUCCUGCCUCAGCCUCCCUAGUAGCUGGGACUACAG
rnacentral:lncRNA from 1 species